AUGGCCCAGCAGCAGAUGACCAGCUCGCAGAAGGCCCUGAUGCUCCAGCUGAACUCCCUGCAGGAGGAGCCGGUGGAGGACUUCCGGAUCACCCUGGUGGACGAGUCCGACCUCUACAACUGGGAGGUGGCCGUCUUCGGACCCCCAACGCCCUCUACGAAGGCAGCUACUUCAAGGCGCAUAUUAAAUUUCCUAUUGACUACCCCUAUUCACCACCUACCUUCAGAUUCUUGACCAAAAUGUGGCACCUCAACAUUUAUGAGAAUGGAGAUGUAUGCAUUUCGAUUCUUCAUCUGCCUGUAGAUGACCCCACAGAGUGGAGAGCUGCCUCUGAAUCCUACUCAGAAUGUGAGGACUAUCCUGUUAAGUGUAAUCUCACUGCUUAAUGAGCCCAAUGCCUUCUCCCCAGCCAAUGUGGAUGCUUCAGUUAUGUUCAGGAAAUGGAGAGACAGUAAAGGAAAAGACAAAGAAUGUGCUGAAAUCAUUAGGAAACAGGUUUCGGCCACUAAGGCCGAAGCAGAAAAGGAUGGAGUGAAGUUCCCCAUGACCCUGGCGGAAUACUGCAUCAAAACUAAAGUACCUUCCAAUGACAACAGCUCAGAUUUGCUUUGUGACGACUUGUAUGAUGACGACAUUGAUGAUGAAGAUGAACAGGAGGAAGAUGCCGACUGUUAUGAUGAUGACGAUUCUGGGAACGAGGAAUCAUGACGUGUUCCUUCAGUGCCCCUGUUACUGCCCUGCCGUCGGAGGCCGAAGGGAGGGGAGCGAGUGGGGACCUAGCAAUGGCCCCUCAGCAAAAACCUAUUCACAGCAGGUGGGGAAACACACAAAGCUUCUGCUGACUUCCCUCAUGAAUCUCAGUUUGCUCCUUUUUACGGACCUUUAAUGGAGAGAGAGUAACCCUCCACAGAAUGUCUGAAUUCUUGCAUUCUUUACCCUUCCAUCACUGUUUUGAUUCUUUAAAAAACAAAAACAAAAA